rnacentral:rRNA from 1 species
UACGAAGGGGGGCUAGCGUUGCUCGGAAUCACUGGGCGUAAAGCGCACGUAGGCGGAUCUUUAAGUCAGGGGUGAAAUCCUGGAGCUCAACUCCAGAACUGCCUUUGAUACUGGGGACGUCUCGAGUCCGGGAGAGGUGAGUGGAACUGCGAGUGUAGAGGUGAAAUUCGUAGAUAUUCGCAAGAACACCAGUGGCGAAGGCGGCUCACUGGCCCGGUACUGACGCUGAGGUGCGAAAGCGUGGGGAGCAAACAGGG